CCGUACCUACGGGGGGCAGCAGUGGGGAAUAUUGGGCAAUGGGCGCAAGCCUGACCCAGCAACGCCGCGUGAAGGAAGAAGGCUUUCGGGUUGUAAACUUCUUUUCUCAGGGACGAAGCAAGUGACGGUACCUGAGGAAUAAGCCACGGCUAACUACGUGCCAGCAGCCGCGGUAAUACGUAGGGAGCGAGCGUUGUCCGGAAUUACUGGGUGUAAAGGGAGCGUAGGCGGGGAUGCAAGUUGGGUGUCAAAACUACCGGCUCAACUGGUAGUCGCACUCAAAACUGCAGCUCUUGAGUGAAGUA
rnacentral:rRNA from 1 species